CAGGUCCAGCGCGGCGCCGAGGCAGCCGGGACGUCGGGCCGGGCUCUCCCGCCGUCUCGCCGCGUCCUGUCCGCCCUCGCGCCGCUAUCCCGAGACUCCACGGCCCUCUUAUCCUCGUGAGCUCUGCCCUCGGAUGUCCGCCCGCCCGGAGCCUGCAUGCGCCGUGGGGCGCCCCGGGACCAGGAGCUGGUGGGUCCGGGGGCCCCUGGGCGGGGGCCCCGCCGCUCUCCUUCUUCUUCAGGACCCGUCGUCCCGGUGCUCGUCUUCCCCCCGGAUCUAGUAUUCAGGGCGGACCAAAGGAGCGGACCCCGGCAGCUGCUGACCCUCUACAACCCCACGGGGACUGCGCUUCGCUUCCGAGUUCUGUGCACAGCACCCGCCAAAUACACGGUAUUCGAUGCAGAGGGCUAUGUGAAGCCUCAGUCUUGCAUUGACAUUGUGAUACGGCACGUGGCCCCCAUCCCCAGCCACUAUGAUGUCCAGGACCGAUUCCGAAUUGAGCUGUCAGAGGAGGGGGCUGAGGGACGUGUGGUUGGACGAAAAGACAUCACCUCUGUUCUUCGGGCCCCAGCGUACCCCGUGGAGCUUCAGGGACAUUCUGAGCCAACACCCAACCCAGGACCUCCUUCGUGGACAGGCCCAACCCCAGCCAGACACCUUCAGGAGAAUGAGAGAAGAAGACUUUGCAGUUGUCCUGGUUUCCAACUUCUAAUCAGAGGGACAAGUUCUUCCCUUGCUCCAACUGCAGUGGCUGUUAUCAGGUGCCAGCUACGUCCAGUUCAAUAAGAAACCUGUACUGAGCAGUUGUACUCUUGUGUGCUGGGCAUGGGAGAUACAGAGGCCCUGUCUGCCAGCCCAGGACACUAAGAACACAGUACUGAAGGCAGGAGAAAGAGGAGGGACAAGAGGACAGAGCUUCUUGUGACUUCAGAAUAGAGGCUCCGAGGAGGAGAGGACACUCCCAGGGUACCCUUGGAGGGCAAUAAAAUGUAAACACAAAGGCCAGCAUGAUGGUACAAGCCUGGGAUACCACCAUUUGGAGGACUACAAGGAAGGAAGGAGUGUUGCAGGUUCCAAGCCAGCCUGGGCUACACAAUGCCCCCCAGCAGCUGGCCACCAGCUCCUUCCUGCUCUUCUUGCUGACAGGCAUCAUCUCUGUGGCCUUCCUGCUACUGCCACUGCAGGACGAGCUUGGCAGCCAGCUGCCUCAAGUCCUGCACGUGUCCCUGGGAC